rnacentral:rRNA from 1 species
AUUGAACGCUGGCGGCAGGCCUAACACAUGCAAGACGAGCGAGUGGCGGACGGGUGAGUAAUGUAUGGGGACUGCCCGAUAGAGGGGGAUAACUACUGGAAACGGUGGCUAAUACCGCAUACUAUCGGAUAACCCAUAUGGGAUUAGCUAGUAGGUUGGGUAAAGGCUCACCUAGGCGACGAUCCCUAGCUGGUCUGAGAGGAUGAACAGCCACACUGGGACUGAGACACGGCCCAGAAGCCGUGGGGGGCAGCAGUGGGGAAUAUUGCACAAUGGGCGCAAGCCUGAUGCAGCCAUGCCGCGUGUAUGAAGAAGGCCUUAGGGUUGUAAAGUACGUUCAGCGGGGAGGCGUUACCGACAGAAGAAGCACCGGCUAACUCCGUGCCAGCAGCCGCGGUAAUAC